ACACAUGCAAGUCGAACGAUGAACCUCCUUCGGGAGGGGAUUAGUGGCGAACGGGUGAGUAACACGUGGGCAAUCUGCCCUGCACUCUGGGACAAGCCCUGGAAACGGGGUCUAAUACCGGAUACUGAUCAUCUUGGGCAUCCUUGGUGAUCGAAAGCUCCGGCGGUGCAGGAUGAGCCCGCGGCCUAUCAGCUUGUUGGUGAGGUAAUGGCUCACCAAGGCGACGACGGGUAGCCGGCCUGAGAGGGCGACCGGCCACACUGGGACUGAGACACGGCCCAGACUCCUACGGGAGGCAGCAGUGGGGAAUAUUGCACAAUGGGCGAAAGCCUGAUGCAGCGACGCCGCGUGAGGGAUGACGGCCUUCGGGUUGUAAACCUCUUUCAGCAGGGAAGAAGCGAAAGUGACGGUACCUGCAGAAGAAG
rnacentral:rRNA from 1 species